CACGAAUGGCGUAACGAUGGCCACACUGUCUCCUCCCGAGACUCAGCGAAGUUGAAAUGUUUGUGAUGAUGCAAUCUACCCGCGGAAAGACGGAAAGACCCCAUGAACCUUUACUGUAGCUUUACAUUGGACUUUGAACAGAUCUGUGUAGGAUAGGUGGGAGGCUUUGAAGUAAGGUCGCUAGAUCUUAUGGAGCCGACGUUGAAAUACCACCCUGGUGUGUUUGAGGUUCUAACCUUGGCCCGUGAUCCGGGUUGGGGACAGUGUAUGGUGGGCAGUUUGACUGGGGCGGUCUCCUCCCAAAGCGUAACGGAGGAGUUCGAAGGUACGCUAGUUACGGUCGGAAAUCGUGACGAUAGUGCAUUGGCAUAAGCGUGCUUGACUGCGAGACUGACAAGUCGAGCAGGUACGAAAGU
rnacentral:rRNA from 14 species